rnacentral:rRNA from 1 species
UGGGGAAUUUUGCGCAAUGGGGGAAACCCUGACGCAGCGACGCCGCGUGCGGGAUGAAGGCCUUCGGGUUGUAAACCGCUUUUGUCUGGGAGCAAGCCUUUUGGGUGAGUGUACCUUCCGCAUAAGCGCCGGCUAACUACGCGCCAGCAGUCGCGGGAAUACGUAGGGCGCAAGCGUUAUCCGGAAUUAUUGGGCGUAAAGAGCUUGUAGGCGGUUCGUCGCGUCUGGUGUGAAAGCCCAUCGCUUAACGGUGGGUUUGCGCCGGGAACGGGCGGGCUAGAGUGCAGUAGGGGAGACUGGAAUUCCCGGUGUAACGGUGGAAUGUGUAGAUAUCGGGAAGAACACCAAUGGCGAAAGCAGGUCUCUGGGCUGUUACUGACACUGAGAAGCGAAAGCGUGGGGAGCGAACAGG